rnacentral:SRP_RNA from 9 species
GUUCUCGUGAACUGGGUCAGGGCCGA